GCUUCACUCCUGUGCUUCCCUCCUCCAAUCAUUCUUUUUUUUCCCUCCUUCCCUCCCUCCUUUCCUUCCUCUCUUCUACAUAUCACUAUUUGGUAAAUAUUCACUCUAUGCCACUGUGCUUGGUGCUGGGGACACAGUGGUGAACAACUCAGACACUGUUUCAACUCUCGUGGAGCCUACAGACCAGUGAAACAGCUCAAGAGGCUAAAACUUUAAUUGUGGCCUCUGUCUACUUGGAAUUCAUUGAUAUUCCCAGAUGUGUAGAUUUCAAUACUUCUCAUCAGAUUUCAUCUGGAAACUUAAUCCCAUAUAGUAUUUUGUCUGAUUUGUGAAUUGCUUUACAUGGAAGACAUCUCAAAGGAUAAUGGGGGAAACCCAAACCAGAAAUGCCAUCAGCCUGUGGACUGUGGUUGAGUUUUGAUAGCUUAACCUUCACAAACCCUUUGGCAAGAAGGAGUAUGUGAGUCAGAAAUCCCAGAGACAACCCAAAGCUCUAUUGCUACUGGAGCUGCAGAAGUACCACUUGCUGUCCUUGGGCUGGAGAAGAAACAAAAAGCCUGGAUGUUUUGCUGGCACCUCGAGCAUCACACAGUCACCAUAGAGAGAGGAGCCCAGCCUCUCAGUCUCUCUUCACUGUGAGCCUCUAUCUCCUACUCUUCACCAAGCAGCCCUGCCCCGCACAGAGCUGCCCCAACCCUGGAUGAACAUUUCCAUUGGCAGUGGCUCUGUUUCUCCAGGGUGAGGCUCCCAGAGGCCACUGAAAGUCCCUCUGCCAUUGCAACUGCAGAGGUACUGCCCUUGCUGCCUUUGCACUGGAGAAGGAACAAAGACCCUAAGUGCUUUACUCAUACCUCCAGCCUGCCACAGCUGCCCUAGGGAGAAGAAGCCAUUCUGUCUUCCCUGCAAACCCCUCAUCCCCCUGUUCAUCACCAGGCAGGGCCUCCUGGCUUGGGCCCUCAAUGCGGCUACCCAUCCUGGGGCUGAUUGUUCCAAUUGGCAGCAACUCUUAAUUUCUCUGAAGUGAAGCCCCAAGAGACAAGUGAAAGGCCCUCUGCCAUUUACACUGCCAAGGUCCCUUACCCUGCAGCUCCCAAGCUGGGGAGAAAACAAAAAGCCAGAGUUCACCCCAGGGUUGCAGUGCACAGCCUGAGAGUGCCAAGCUGGGAUCUGCAGCCAGCAUUGAAUAGAAGGGGAGCCCUACACUCUCAGAGUACUGAGAGAGAACACUGCUGCAAUCACGAGGAAAUGCAGAGGAGCUGAUGCAGAGGAGUAAUGUGGCUGAGCAAGAGCCUACAUACUGGCCAUUACACAUAGGCACCAUCUACUGGAUCCCAGGCCAAACUUUGACACCAAAAAUACUUUGCUAAUAUAGCCCCCUGUGAAACCAAGGACAAGAAUUCAGCCACAAAUGAAGACCCUGCACAAAGCCCCGGCCUUUUGAAAACAUCCAGAAAUGAAGUCAAUUGACUGUACUCAAAUUACACCACAGUUAAAGGAACAUCAGCCCACGUGGAUGAGAAAGAACCAGCACAAGAAUUAUGGCAACUCUAAAAGUUAGAGUGUCUCCUUACCUCCAAAAGAUCACAUUAGCUCCCAAGCCAUUGUUCUUAACCAGAAUGAAAUGGCUGAAAUGACAGACAUAGAAUUCAAAAUCUAGAUGAUAACAAAAGGUCAUUGAAAUUCAGGAAAAAGUUGAAACCCAUUCCAAAAAACAUGAAGAAUCCAGUAAAAUGAUUCAGGAAAUGAAAGAUGAAAUAGCCAUUUUAAGAAAGAACCAAAUGGAGAUGACAGAGCUGGAAAACUGACUACAAGAAUCUCAUAACACAAUAGGAAGUAUCAAUAACAGAAAAGACCAAGCUGAGGAAAGAAUCUCAGAGAUUCAAGACCAGUUCUUUGAAUUAUCAGGUUGAUGCAAAAGUGAUUGUGGCUUUUGUCAUAUUUGAUGGCAAAAACCACAAUUACUUUUGCACCAACCUGAUAACUCAGACAAGAAAAAAAAAAACUUGGAAAAAUAUAAUAUUAUGUAAAGAGUCCAAAUCUAUGACUCAGUGGCAUAUCUGAAAGGGAGAGAAAACGAGAAAAUUGGAAAAUAUAUUUGAUGAUAUUGUCCACAGAAAUUUCCCCAACCCCAUAAAAGGAGUCAGCAUACAAAUUCAAAAAAUUUAGAGGACCCCUGUGAAAUAUAGUACAAGAGGACCAUCUUCAAGACAAAUACUCAUCAGAUUCUUCGAGUUCAAUGUGAAAGAAAAAAAUAUUAAAGGCAACUCAAGAGGAGGGGCAGGUCACCUACAAAGGGAACCCCAUCAGGCUAACAGCAGACCUUUCAGCAGAAACUACAAGCCAGAAGAGAUUGAGAGCCUAUAUUCAGCAUCCUUAAAGAAAAGAAAUUCCAACCAAGAAUUUCAUAUCCAGCCAAACUAAGCUUCAUAAACACAGAAGAAAUAAGAUCUCUUUCAGAGAAGCAAUUGCUAAGGAAAUGUGUUACCACAACAUCUACCUUAUAAGAGGUCCUUAAGGGAGUGCUAAACAUGGAAAUGAGCACCGUGAAAACACACUCAAGUACAUAGACUAUCAAUAACAUAAGGCAAAUACACAAUCAAGUCUACAUAACAACCAGCUAACAAAAUAAUGGCAGGAUCAAAUCUGCACAUAUAAAUAUUAACCUUGAGCAUAAAUGGGUUAAACACCUCACUUAAAAGACAUAGAGUAACAAGUUGGAUUAAGAAGCAAGACCCAUGUAUGCUGUCUUCAAGGGACCCAGCUCACAUACAAGGACACCCACAGGUUCAAAGUAAAGGGAGGGAGAAAGAUCUAUCAAGCAAAUAGAAAACAAAAAAGAGCAGGAGUUGCUAUUCUUAUUUUAAACAGAACCAACUUUAAACCAAUAAUGAUAAAAAAGGAAAAAGAAGGGCAUUACAUAAUAAUAAACAGUUUAAUUCCACAAGAAGACUUAACCAUCCUAAGUAUGUAUGCACCCAAAACUGGAGCACCCAGAUUCAUAAAAUAAGCUCUUAGAGACGUAUGAAGAGACUUAGAGAAACAUAAUAGUAGUGGGAGAAUUCAACACCACACUAAUGAUAUUGGACAGAUCAAAGCAGAAUGCUAACGAAAAUAUUCAGGACCUAAACUUUACUCUUGACCAACAAUCUGUAGAUGGAUCUAACAGACGUCUACAGAACACUCCACCCAACAAAAACGGAGUAUACAUUCUUCUCAUCUACACAUGAAACACACUCUAAAAUUGACCACAUGCUCAGCCAUAAAGCAAUUCUCAACAAAUUAAAAAAUGGAAAUAAUACCAACCACACUCUCAGACCAGAGCACAAUAAAAAUAGCAAUCAAUACCAAGAACAUUUCUCAAAACCAUACAAUAAAAUGGAAAUUAAUCUGUUCCUGAAUGACUUUUGGGUAAACAAUGAAAUUAAGGCAGGAAUCAAGAAAAUCUUUGAAAUUAAUGAAAACAAAGAUACAAUGUAACAGAAUCUCUGGGACACAGCUAAAACAGUGUUAAGAGGGAAGUUUGUAGCUCUAAACACCCACAUCAAAAAGUUAGAAAGAUCUCAAAUUAACAACCUAACAUCACACCUAGAGGAACUUGAAAAAUAAGAGGAAACCAAUAUCAAAGGUAGCAGAAGAAAAUAACAAAAAUCAGAGCUGAACUGAAUUAAAUGGAAAUGAGAAAAACCAUAUAAAACAUCAAGGAAACCAAAAGUUGGUUCUUCAGAAGAAUAAGUACGAUUGACAGACUGCUUGCUAGGCUAAUAAUAAAGAAAAA